GUGCCACCCAUGCAACCAUACCAUAUAGACUUUUAGUUCUGCGAGACGCUGAUAGUGAGUGUUGAUGAUUCUAUCAGCCGUACUUCAGAUUAUCAAAGAUGACUGAUCUACUACCAGCUCCCAUAACAGACCUCCUUUCAUGGCGUCUGACUGCUAUUGUUAUGGCUGUUACCAUUAUCGUCACCUCCAUUUUCGGGGCAGUUGCUCUCUUCAAGGAGGAGAUGAUUGACGCCUUUGGUGUGGUUACAGAUAUAACCACCAACAUUAUGGGCAAUGUGAUACAAAAACU